rnacentral:rRNA from 1 species
GAUGAACGCUGGCGGCGUGCCUAAUACAUGCAAGUCGAGCGAACGGACGAGAAGCUUGCUUCUCUGAUGUUAGCGGCGGACGGGUGAGUAACACGUGGAUAACCUACCUAUAAGACUGGGAUAACUUCGGGAAACCGGAGCUAAUACCGGGUAAUAUUUUGAACCGCAUGGUUCAAAAGUGAAAGACGGUCUUGCUGUCACUUAUAGAUGGAUCCGCGCUGCAUUAGCUAGUUGGUAAGGUAACGGCUUACCAAGGCAACGAUGCAUAGCCGACCUGAGAGGGUGAUCGGCCACACUGGAACUGAGACACGGUCCAGACUCCUACGGGAGGCAGCAGUAGGGAAUCUUCCGCAAUGGGCGAAAGCCUGACGGAGCAACGCCGCGUGAGUGAUGAAGGUCUUCGGAUCGUAAAACUCUGUUAUUAGGGAAGAACAUAUGUGUAAGUAACUGUGCACAUCUUGACGGUACCUAAUCAGAAAGCCACGGCCAACUACGUG